rnacentral:rRNA from 1 species
AACGAACGCUGGCGGCAGGCUUAACACAUGCAAUUCGAGCGCCCCGCAAGGGGAGCGUCAGACGGGUGAGUAACGCGUGGGAACGUGCCGUUAGGUUCGGAACAACUCCGCGAAACUGGAGCUAAUACCGGAUAAGCCCUUCGGGGGAAAGAUUCAUCGCCAAAGGAUCGGCCCGCGCAUGAUUAUCUAGUUGGUGGGGUAAUGGCCCACCAAGGCGACGAUCAGUAGCUGGACUGAGAGGAUGAUCAGCCACACUGGGACUGUGACACGGCCCAGACGCCUGCAGGAGGCAGCAGUGGGGAAUAUUGGACAAUGGGCGCAAGCCUGAUCGAGCCAUGCCGCGUGAGUGAUGAAGGCCUUAGGGUUGUAAAGCUCUUUUGUCCGGGAAGAUAAUGACUGUACCGGAAGAAUAAGCCCCGGCUAACUUCGUGCCAGCCGCCGCCGUAAUAC